GUCCGAGCGGUCAUAGGGGCCGCCGAGCGGCCUCCUCUGGACGGAGAAAGGGGUGAGGGGCUGCUGCGAGAGAGUGCAGCUGGGACGCGUUAGCAGGUGGGAGCGGGGGCAGGUCUCCGAGUUCUCCUGUGACCAGCAGAACAAACUGAUACCCUAACUAUCAGUGUCCUUUAAACUGUAAGCCACUGCUAUAUGAUGUUACCCUGAACCCUUCUCCAUCCCAUGGAGAAAUGGCAUGUUGUCAGUCCCGUGGGGAAGCAAUGGUACGUGCCAGCUGUCUUUCUAAUACAUUCUGGCGCUGCCAAGUGGCUCAUGUAACAACAUGUUCUACCUACUUUUCAGCAAGGGCAUUAAUUUGAGCCUUCCUUUUCUGCAGGAGUGCCAGCUUUCAGAGAAGCUGGAUGGGUUUAGUUGUCUCUCAGACAUUUUUUACUCCUAUUUCAAAUUGCCUAAUGAGUUAAAAAGUUUAAAAAGUUACAGGGUGGACUCAUAAACUAAGUUAAAAAUACAGAAAGUAAUUGCAUUCUGAAGUACGGGUACAAUUGUUGUAUGGGCAUUUUAUUAGGUCCACCUUAGAACUGGAAAGCAACAGGUGAAUUAAGGGAGUUCAGUAUAAAAUGCUCAGCUGCUGUACUGUGUUCAGCAGGAGUAAGAACAUGCGAGCUCAUUUCUGUGAAACACUGUUUGCCACACAACCACCAGAGGCAGCGAGCUUUGGCAGCCAUGUUAGGUAAGGGCAGCAAGAUGCCACUUUGGUGGCCAUCCUUUUUCCUGGCAGGAAGUCAUAGCAAUUUUCUGAUAGCCAUCAUAGCUGAGGGCAGAAACAGCCCGCUCUACAGCCAUCUUGGGUAAGGGAAAUGGAAGCGAGGUGACUGUCACAUUUGUCCUCCAAGGAGCUGGUUUCUGAGUCAGGAUUAUGAAAUGCAGCAGAGGUAGAGUUUAUAAGUGCAUACCUGCCAAACAUCUGGGUUUUGGCUUGAGUGUAUAAAAAUGCAGGAGAGAUUCUGUGGUUUUAAUGACUUGAUGAAAAAUAAGAUCGUUUGCUGAAGGAAGCUUGUUGGGAAUUCUAAGGUAACUGUAACUGACCAGAGAAGAAGAAGAACACUAAGCAUCUUUCUAGGGAACUCGGUGCCAAAUUUCUGAGUAUUGUGGAAUGGUGAUCCAAAAGUCUACCAAAAUAUUAGUAAUAUACCUCAGAUUGUCAGUGGGGAGGUGUUGUGAACCAGUUGCUCAGUGGGAGAUGGAGACUCCAGAGAGAUUGCUGCAUUUGGAAUUAAUGAGGCAUACAACAUAGCAAAAGCUGAAGUUUCUAGGAUGCAAAUUAAGAUGCAAACUGAUAAUAAAGCCAGAAUAAAAAGGUAAGGAGAAAGUAGGAGAUGCAGUUUUCUACUGAGUUCUCAUCUGAAACUCACUAAUCAGCAAUUUACUAAGUCAGUUGCUCAUUGAAUUUUGAUAAUACAACAACUUCUAUGUAUAAUUGCACUCCUCUAAGCAUACCGAAUUUUGAAAUAUGACAGUCUGUAAAGGCAUUUACUGCUACAUCAGCAAUGUGGAAUCAUAUAGCAAAGUUUGAACUGUAACUUACAUACUAGCGUUGUAUCUUUUGCAAAACAAACUUGCCUCAGAAGUACCUUCUGAGACAUUCAGAAUCACACUGAACUGUCAAAAACUAAGGAAUUAUUUCAGAGCAGUAGGUUCAUUUUUCUGGAGCUAUAGUUGUGUUAAUUUUAAUAUUAACACUACAGAAAUGUGGUGCACAGCAGUUUCUUCAUGUCCCCUGGAGGACUGGGGGGAGGAUGAGCUGCAUGGCAUGUCAGACUAACUAGCUUAGACCAGUAUUUGCUGAUCUACAGUUGCUUUGGAGAUGCUGUGACUAAAAAUGUAACCUUUUUUCUUAAGCAGGAGAAGUGGUCUCACAGAGUAAGCUAAACAAGGAAUGGCAAGAUUAUUGUGAUCAUCCUACAACUUGUUGAAAUAUUCUGGCUGCAAUUCUUGAUAAAAUUAAUGAUAUUCUAUGUCUGCAUGAUAGCGCCUGUCGCUGGAGAGUCACGGGUGUAAAUGGUGUAGUUGCAAUGUAUGUCAAGACAACAACAAUCCAGUUGGAAUUUUUGGAUACCUGUUUGUUUCAGGAGCUGCUGAAUACAUACCCAUUCUACAAAUAUGUUCUCUAGCAGUGUGUUUCUCUCCAUGCUGGUAUAUCAUGAGAAAAUAAAUGGAGCAAGAUCAUGUCCUCAGAAUGGUGAUCAUUACCAGAAAACAACAACAGGUAUUUUCUAAGAGGUUAUUUGCUGGUUUCAUGACCACAUUGAAAAAGAACCAGAUUAUCCUAGAUUAAGAAAGAUCAUAACACAAAGCCUGUAAUACAUCAAAAAGCUGAUUUGCACUUCAGUUUUAAUGAUAAACUUUGCUGCUUGUGGCAGUGAUCACACAAAGUCCUUUUUAUAAGCUCAUCAAGUUACUCAGCACUUAUUAGGACUUUAUACUCCCCACUAUUCUUGUUGGAAAACUUCAUUCAAAACCUUAUUUCUCCAAUUAUUAGAAAAUUUAUGCAAAUUAUUACCCUUGAUUUAUUGAAGGCUUGUUAUUGUAGCACCACUGUUGUUUCAGACUUAUUUUCCAUUCUUGAUCUUUUGACUCUCCGGUUAUAUCAAGAACAAUUGCAUUAUCUUUCAACAUUAAUUUUGAAAGAAUAAGCAACUCAGCUGGUUUAAUCCUCUUUUGCCAGCUAGAUUCUCCAUUUACCACAUUUUUAUUGCCUAUUCCUAUUCCUAGUUUGCAUUUAGUUUAUUAAAAGAUACUUGUACCCACUAUACAAAUGAAUAUCUUUCUAACAUAUCAGAAAAUUGUAUCAAUGUAGUAUACAUAGCAUGCAUACACAGAAUAUAGUCUUUAAUUUAUAUAUUAAAUGUAUGCAUAUUUAUACAAUUAUAUAUAAAAUAUAUAAAUAUAUAUCCUAUUUAUGUAUAUAUUGCAUAAUGUGUUGGUAAUAUAAAUAUAUGGUACCUAUUAAUAAGUAUAGCAUAAAAUGUGUGCUCUUAAUACAGUAUAAUAUAUAACUAAUUUUACAUACAAUGUUUCUUAGUUUCUAAUGAAAUUAGGUACAUUGGUGUAUCUGGCAUUUUCAUUGCUUUUUCAUUUUACUAGAACAUAGUCACAGUGUAGCCAGAUAUUAGUUGCUUUUCUAUUAAUAUGAGACUGACUUUUUGAAAUGUUUGACAUUUUCUUUGGCUGUCUGAAAAAUAAGUAAAAGUGUCUUAAAAAUAAGGAUGACAUUUAUGUUGUUUGUUUGUUUGUUUGUUUAAAAUAAAGGUAUCUGUUACACCAGA